rnacentral:pre_miRNA from 1 species
UCGGUUAUCAUGGUACCGGUGCUGUAUAUGUGAAAGGUACAGUACUGUGAUAACUGAAG